rnacentral:rRNA from 1 species
GUGGGGAAUUUUGGACAAUGGGCGCAAGCCUGAUCCAGCAAUGCCGCGUGCAGGAAGAAGGCCUUCGGGUUGUAAACUGCUUUUGUACGGAACGAAACGGUCCGGGUUAAUACCCUGGGCUAAUGACGGUACCGUAAGAAUAAGCACCGGCUAACUACGUGCCAGCAGCCGCGGUAAUACGUAGGGUGCAAGCGUUAAUCGGAAUUACUGGGCGUAAAGCGUGCGCAGGCGGUUUUGUGAGACAGGCGUGAAAUCCCCGGGCUCAACCUGGGAAUUGCGCUUGUGACUGCAAGGCUGGAGUGCGGCAGAGGGGGAUGGAAUUCCGAGUGUAGCAGUGAAAUGCGUAGAUAUGCGGAGGAACACCGAUGGCGAAGGCAAUCCCCUGGGCCUGCACUGACGCUCAUGCACGAAAGCGUGGGGAGCAAACAGGAUUAGAUACCCGUGUAGUCC